AUAAAAGUUCCUCCCCCACACUUAAACCAAACAUUUUUCAUAAAAUUUUGAUAGAAGAUGAAAAAAAGAGUUGAAAAACCUAGAAAUUCCGGCUACUGAUGGCCUCUGCCUCGUGCUCGUCCAUGCCCACUGCGUCCAUGUUGGUAAGGAGGCAUACCCAUAUGAUAGAUGUAUUAUGGAAAAUCCUCCACAUAUACCCUCAUCACCACCAUCUCGUCAAUCAAGCCCGACAUGUUGUGCUCAGUCCUGCUAGCAUAGUCGUGCUGGUGCUGCUGGAUC
rnacentral:lncRNA from 1 species